GGACCCGCACAAGCAGCGGAGCAUGUGGUUUAAUUCGAAGCAACGCGAAAAACCUUACCAAGACUUGACAUCGUAUGACCGCCAUAGAGAUAUGGAAUUCUGGAGCAAUCCAGACAUAUAGACAGGUGGUGCAUGGUUGUCGUCAGCUCGUGUCGUGAGAUGUUGGGUUAAGUCCCGCAACGAGCGCAACCCUCAUAUCUAGUUGCCAAUAUUAAGUUAGGAACUCUAGGUAGACUGCCGCAGAUAAUGCGGAGGAAGGUGGGGAUGACGUCAAAUCAUCAUGCCCCUUACGUCUUGGGCUACACACGUGCUACAAUGGCUACUACAAAGAGUCGCGAACCAGUAAUGGGAAGCCAAUCUCAAAAAGGUAGUCUCAGUUCGGACUGUGGGCUGCAACCCGCCCACACGAAGUCGGAGUUGCUAGUAAUCCCGAAUCAGAAUGUC
rnacentral:rRNA from 1 species